GCCGUAGCUAACGCAUUAAGUACCCCGCCUGGGGAGUACGGCCGCAAGGCUAAAACUCAAAGGAAUUGACGGGGCCCCGCACAAGCGGCGGAGCAUGCGGAUUAAUUCGAUGCAACGCGAAGAACCUUACCUGGGUUUGACAUAUAUCGGAAACGUUCAGAGGUGGGCGCCCCGUAAGGUCGGUAUACAGGUGGUGCAUGGCUGUCGUCAGCUCGUGUCGUGAGAUGUUGGGUUAAGUCCCGCAACGAGCGCAACCCUCGUCCAAUGUUGCCAGCGGGUUAUGCCGGGGACUCAUUGGAGACCGCCGGGGUCAACUCGGAGGAAGGUGGGGAUGACGUCAAGUCAUCAUGCCCCUUAUGUCCAGGGCUUCACGCAUGCUACAAUGGCCGGUACAAAGAGUUGCGAGCCUGUGAGGGUGAGCGAAUCUCAAAAAGCCGGUCUCAGUUCGGAUUGGGGUCUGCAACUCGACCCCAUGAAGUCGGAGUCGCUAGUAAUCGCAGAUCAGCAACGCUGCGGUGAAUACGUUCCCGGGGCUUGUACACACCGCCCGUCAAGUCAUGAAAGUCGGUAACACCCGAAGCCGGCGGCCUAACCCGUUUGGGGGGGAGCUGUCGAAGGUGGGACUGGUAAUUAGGACUAAGUCGUAACAAGGUAACC
rnacentral:rRNA from 1 species